rnacentral:rRNA from 1 species
GAUGAACGCUAGCGGCAGGCUUAAUACAUGCAAGUCGAGCGGCAGCGCAGUGUAGCCAUACACUGGCGGCGACCGGCAAACGGGUGCGGCACACGUAUGCAACCUACCCAUAACUGAUGAAUAGCCCUCCGAAAGGGGGAUUAAUCCAUCAUAACUUACUGCAGCGGCAUCGCUUUAUUAAUAUAGCUGCGGCGGUUUUGGAUGGGCGUGCGCGUGAUUAGGUAGGUGGCGGGGUAACGUACCACGAAGCCUGCGAUCAGUAACUGGUGGAGGAGCACGACCAGGCACACGUGCACUGAGACACGGGCCCGACGCCUACGGGAGGAAGCAGUAAGGAAGAUUGGUCGAUGGACGCAAGUCUGAAGCAGCCAGGCCGCGGGAAGGAUGAAGGGCCUCUGGAGUGGAAACUUGGUUUGAAUGGGACCAAACCUCGUGUUCUUGAGAGACUGACGGUACCAUGAGAAGAAGCACCGGCUAACUCCGUG